AGCUUGCAUGUAUUUCAAACGCUUUUACCUCAAUAACUCGGUGAUGGAGUAUCAUCCUCGGAUAAUAAUGCUCACGUGUGCAUUUUUGGCCUGUAAAGUAGAUGAAUUUAAUGUGUCCAGUGCACAGUUUGUUGGUAACCUUCGAGAAAGCCCUCUUGGACAGGAGAAAGCUCUUGAACAAAUACUGGAAUAUGAACUACUGCUUAUUCAGCAACUGAACUUCCAUCUCAUCGUCCACAAUCCAUACAGGCCAUUUGAGGGAUUUCUAAUUGAUUUGAAGACUCGCUAUCCAAUGCUGGAGAAUCCUGAAGUUUUGAGGAAAACAGCUGAUGACUUCCUCAGUCGAGUGGCUCUGACGGAUGCGUAUCUGCUCUUUACUCCCUCACAGAUAGCUCUCACUGCCAUAUUAUCUAGUGGUUCAAGAGCAGGAAUUAAUAUGGAAAGUUAUUUAUCAGAAAGUCUUAUGCUGAAAGAAGACAGAACAUCCUUAGCCAAGCUACUGGAUGGCAUGAAAUGCAUGAAAAAUCUCAUAAAGAAAUACGAACUGCCAAGGCCUGAAGAGGUUGCUGCUCUAAAACAGAAAUUAGAGAAGUGUCACAGCUCGGAGCUUUCACUUAAUACAAACCCGAAGAAGAGGAAAGGUUAUGAAGAUGAUGACUAUGUCGCAAAGAAAUCUAAAAUGGAUGAGGAAGAGUGGACUGAUGAUGAUCUUGUGGACUCAGUCUAACCUUGAAGGAAGAUGGAAUCCUGCCACUGCAGAAACUACUGUUUGGUGUCAAGUGUGAACCUGCCUGCCACAGGUUCCUUACUCUGUGUCAUGAGGCCAUUGCUGGUGUUCCUACUGCCAGACUGAAAAUCGUCACGGGAUGUGCCAAGUCAUCGAUGUGAGUCUCUAGAUCACUGCCUCUCAAAUGAUUAUGGCUCCUCUUCCCAAUUUGACCAGACUUUAUGCCACUGCUCUAAUCGAGAUCAACACCCCAUUUAGCUCUAAAUGACGAGGACAGAAGAAAUGGCAGCAACAAGGCCUCCUUGCUGAUGAGGACAAACAGGUGAUGUAUCAGGCUUUGCACAAGAA